AGGGAACCUUCGGCAAUGGACGGAAGUCUGACCGAGCAACGCCGCGUGAGUGAAGAAGGUUUUCGGAUCGUAAAGCUCUGUUGUAAGAGAAGAACGAGUGUGAGAGUGGAAAGUUCACACUGUGACGGUAUCUUACCAGAAAGGGACGGCUAACUACGUGCCAGCAGCCGCGGUAAUACGUAGGUCCCGAGCGUUGUCCGGAUUUAUUGGGCGUAAAGCGAGCGCAGGCGGUUAGAUAAGUCUGAAGUUAAAGGCUGUGGCUUAACCAUAGUACGCUUUGGAAACUGUUUAACUUGAGUGCAAGAGGGGAGAGUGGAAUUCCAUGUGUAGCGGUGAAAUGCGUAGAUAUAUGGAGGAACACCGGUGGCGAAAGCGGCUCUCUGGCUUGUAACUGACGCUGAGGCUCGAAAGCGUGGGGAGCAAACAGGAUUAGAUACCCUGGUAGUCCACGCCGUAAACGAUGAGUGCUAGGUGUUAGACCCUUUCCGGGGUUUAGUGCCGUAGCUAACGCAUUAAGCACUCCGCCUGGGGAGUACGACCGCAAGGUUG
rnacentral:rRNA from 1 species